rnacentral:rRNA from 1 species
ACGGAGGGUGCAAGCGUUGUCCGGAUUUAUUGGGUUUAAAGGGUGCGUAGGCGGCUAUUUAAGUCAGUGGUGAAAUCCUGCAGCUUAACUGUAGAAUAGCCAUUGAUACUGGAUAGCUUGAGUACAGACGAGGUAGGCGGAAUUUAUGGUGUAGCGGUGAAAUGCAUAGAUACCAUAAAGAACCCCUAUUGCGAAGGCAGCUUACUAGGCUGUAACUGACGCUGAGGCACGAAAGCGUGGGGAUCAAACAGGA